rnacentral:rRNA from 1 species
CCUACGGGAGGCUGCAGUGAGGAAUAUUGGUCAAUGGACGAGAGUCUGAACCAGCCAAGUAGCGUGAAGGAUGACUGCCCUAUGGGUUGUAAACCUCUUUUAUAUGGGAAUAAAACGUUCCACGUGUGGGAUUUUGUAUGUACCAUAUGAAUAAGGAUCGGCUAACUCCGUGCCAGCAGCCGCGGUAAUACGGAGGAUCCGAGCGUUAUCCGGAUUUAUUGGGUUUAAAGGGGGCGUAGGUGGAUUGUUAAGUCAGUUGUGAAAGUUUGCGGCCCAACCGUAAAAUUGCAGUUGAAACUGGCAGUCUUGAGUACAGGAGAGGUAGGCGGAAUUCGUGGUGUAGCGGUGAAAUGCUUAGAUAUCACGAAGAACUCCGAUUGCGAAGGCAGUUCACUGGACUGCAACUGACACUGAGGCUCGAAAGUGUGGGUAUCAAACAGGAUUAGAUACCCCGGUAGUC